rnacentral:misc_RNA from 1 species
AAAAAAUUACCCAAUCCCAUCUUCUCAAUAAGCCCUUCAAGCACACACUCUCUCUCUUAGUCACACUUCCUGCCUCGGGUGCUGUCAAGAUUCGGUAUUACCUUUCGUGGCAUGCAUCUUCAGCCCCUAUUUUAGAUCCUUAUUGACCCUUAUUGAAGCCUGGAGAGUCUCUUACAAUUAGGGAAUUUGGUCCCCACCAGUGUUCUUUUCCAAUUCAGGGGAGUAUCUCCUCGAGUUGUGGUUAUGUAUUGUUUCAUUGAGAAUGUGUG